rnacentral:rRNA from 1 species
AUUGAACGCUGGUGGUAUGCUUAACACAUGCAAGUCGAACGGUAACAGGAAGAGCUUGCUCUUUGCUGACGAGUGGCGGACGGGUGAGUAACGCGUAGGAAUCUACCCAUUUGAGGGGGAUACCAGUUGGAGACGACUGUUAAUACCGCAUAAUAUCUGUGGAUUAAAGGUGGCCUUUGUGCUGCCGCAGAUGGAUGAGCCUGCGUUAGAUUAGCUUGUUGGUGGGGUAAGAGCCUACCAAGGCCGCGAUCUAUAGCUGAUUUGAGAGGAUGAUCAGCCACAUUGGAACUGAGACACGGUCCAA